AAGCCGCGAUCGAGGAAAAUAAAAGAUUGUGGACUAAAUUGCAAAAUCUUUAUAUUUUGGUACCAAGUUUUGAACAAGCCGGCUCAGGAAUCGGGACAGGUCGAAAGUUCGAUCACACUAUCCAAAGGACUUUUAUCUUGGUAAAUGGCUUGUACAACUACUUAAGUAUGGCAUGUAUAACAAUAUACCUAUUUUGUGUAAAUAAUUUUAUGAUAUGGCCAUGUUUGGUUGAGAAAA